rnacentral:rRNA from 1 species
UACGGGGGGAGCAAGCGUUGUUCGGAUUUACUGGGCGUAAAGGGCGCGUAGGCGGCCACCGCAAGUCGACUGUGAAACUCUCCGGGCUUAACCCGGAAAGGUCAGCCGAUACUGCGGGGCUAGAGUGCAGAAGGGGCAACUGGAAUUCUCGGUGUAGCGGUGAAAUGCGUAGAUAUCGAGAGGAACACCUGUGGCGAAGGCGGUCGUC